CAUCCUCACGGAAUCUUCAACCACCGUAACAGAUUCACGAUACCUUCACCAUCAACAAUCAACAUCUCACCGGAAUCACUCCAAGAAAGGAAGAAGAAGAAGAGUUGACUGAAGAUCCAAUCAUCGCUUCACUCGGUACAUUUAGUUGCUUACAGUUCUUUAAGAACUUGCUUGCUGCUGCUUGGUUUUUUAACCACUUGAGAAAAAAGAUAAAGGGUUCGGCGAAGAAAGCUGCCAGCUCGGCCAUGGACGAAGGCCAAGAAAAAGAAACCAACUGCACAACAACAAAGGUAAGCCGAAAACCACCUCCAACUCCAAAGAAGCGAAAUACUAACCAUCCCCAGGCUCCAACAAUUGAGUCAGACGAUGAUAUGACCUCUCCCCAGAUAACUCCAAACCUUCUAAAAAGAAGAAGAAAGCAAAAACUUCUGACGUCACCUCUCAGCCGAAAACCAAAGUCAUCAAAAUCAAGCCAACGAAACCUAUUGCUCAAAAGGCGAUUAAUGUUGAUUCUGAACCUACUGCCAAGAAUACCCCUGAAGGAAUCGAAAGUGAUAACUCCAGCCCUGGUGCUGAUGGUCUUAAGACGGUACUGAAUAAUCAAGCAUUAAGCAUGAUAUCCCUGGGAAUGCCAUUACUCCUUUGUACCAUCCCUUAUCCGACAAAGAUUCGAAUAAAGGGUCAACAGACGAAGUGAACAAACCUGUUGACAAACAACAAGAGGUUUUGCCUCCAAAGAAUACUACCCAACACUCUCAAACCACUGGCUAUGAUAGUGAAGAUGACGAAGAAAAAGAGCAUCACCUCACAAAGAUAUCGAAAACCAUGGACACCCAAAAUCCAAAAGAGAAUGUCCAAGACAAAAUAUACGAUUGUUUGCCAAAAUCCUCACCCAAGGUGAAGACGUCCCAGAUGAAGAGGAAGAUGAAGAUGAGGAUCACUCUAUGUUCGACAUCCCUAUUUACCCACUGGAAGAAGAUGAUGAUGAUGAUGCGAACCCAAGUGACAUACCUACCGACAACCAAAACCUUGGCACAACCAAAGCUUUCAAAAUACCUUCGACUGGUACAGGUGUUGCUCUCUCCCUGAAAAAUUGGAGACCUUAAAGAAGAAUAAGCCAACAGAAUACCUGAAGAUGAUCAUGUGCGCAAGGGGUAACUCGACUAACAAACGUUCAAGUUCAUCGACCGUUUCUGGUGAUCAGUCUACAAAUGAGCCUACUGACGAACUGCUCGAAAAGAUCAAGGAGAAAGCAUUCGUUGUUAACUUGCUCCAAGUCCUAGAAAAUGAUCGCACUGCCUACUUUAGGAUCAAGGAUCUUUUGAAACAAUUGGACAUCCUAACCACUUCUCCAGAAAUUGCAGAUAUCACCAUGGAGCUUAGGUUACUUAUUGAUCAAGUUAAUACAGACCUCAAUCGCAAAAGUGAAGUUUCGAACAAGAAUCAGAACAAAAUGAAUUCCCAAACAGCUGAAUGGGGUGUUUCCACCAAGUCCCCCAACAAAGUUUCAGAAUUGGAAAAGGGGUUUGAACAAAGUUAAGAAGAAUUUGAGACUUGCGCUAACAAUAUUACUGCCUGGGAACUGCAAAUCGAAUAACUGCAUGCUAAUAUCAAAAAGGCCAAAGAGCACCAGGAGGAGAUUCAGAAGCUUGAUCGCGAAGAACUUGACAAUGAAAUACAGGUAAGGGUGGAUCAUGUUGAACAGGCCUAAGCUUUGGGGAAAAGAUUGAUAUUCUCAACUUCAGCCAGUUUGUGAUUGACCGACGUCUAUUACUCUAGAAGAUGAAGUAUGAACGCAUGAAGGUCUCUCUUCCUUUUUAACUUAUUUUGCUUACGCAUGUUGUAAUUGCUUGAAUUUUUAUUUCAA